GGAGAGAUGGCUGAGUUGGUCUAAGGCGCACGACUGGAAAUCGUGUUCGGGGCUAACCCCCCGACUAGGGUUCGAAUCCCUAUCUCUCCGCCA
rnacentral:tRNA from 1 species